GGGGAACUUGUCCCUUCUUUGUCCUGACCCUCCAACGUGCUGCCUCUCCAUUUGACAUGGUGAGCUGUGACUCUGACAUUGCCCCGAUGCAGCUGGAUGUCCCACUGGAGUACACCACUGCUGUGAGACUGCUGUUUCUGCCCAACAGCCCUGUGUCUUCCUCUUCCCUCUGCAUUGCAUCUGGAUGGAAGAUCACUGAAGAAGAAAAAUCCCAAGGAGAUGAGUUCAGAGCUGUCGCGAUACAAGGAUGCCACCCUUACAGACUGGGAAGGAAAGAUGGGACAUCCUGGUGACGGGACGAGACGCAGAAACACCACCAGCAGCUGCCACUGGAGAGUUAUAGCCCCAUUAAAAUCCAUUUUUUGAGUUGAAGUCCUGGACUUAUGAACUGAAAGAAAUCUCUCUAAUUGUCAUGACCAGCUGAUGGUGUAUGAAGGAUUUGGACUAACCAAAGAGUUAAUA